rnacentral:rRNA from 1 species
UUACUAGAGUAGCACUCGCAUAUCAAUAAGCGGAGGAAAAGAAACUAACAAGGAUUCCCCUAGUAACGGCGAGUGAAGCGGGAAGAGCUCAAAUUUGAAAUCUUAAAGGGUUUCCCUUUACGAAUUGUAGUUUAAAGAAGUGUUUUCUGUUGAGGUUUUGGUAAAAGUUCUUUGGAAUAGGACAUCAUAGAGGGUGAGAAUCCCGUAUUUGACCUUUACUUUCAACUUUGUGAUACACUUUCAAAGAGUCGGAUUGUUUGGGAAUGCAGUCCAAAAUGGGUGGUAAAUUUCAUCUAAAGCUAAAUAUUGGCGAGAGACCGAUAGCGAACAAGUACCGUGAGGGAAAGAUGAAAAGAACUUUGAAAAGGGAGUUAUACAGUACGUGAAAUUGUCAAAAGGGAAGCGUUUGACACCAGUGUUGUUUUUCUGAAAAUCAAUUAAAGAACUGUUUAUGCUAAGUUGUUUAGACUUUAUCAGCUAUCUGUUUAGUUUUGAGCUUUUCUUUAAUGCACUUUUCAGUUAACAAGUCAACAUCAAUUUCUUUUGCUGUAAAAAAGCUUGAGGAAGGUGGCUUGAGAUUCGUCUUAAGUGUUUAUAGCCUCUUGCCUAUGCAGUCGGAGAGAUUGAGGUCUGCAGCGUAGAUCCUUCGGGGCUAAAUGCAUUUGUGCUAAGUUAUAGCAUUUUAUAGACAACUUGUUGACUAUGAUUGUCUUGUAGCUUACUCGCUUAUGUUAUUUUACCUACGCUUAGGAUGUUGAACUACUGAGACAUAGA